GGAAGUCGGUCCAGAGUCACUGCGCCGCGCGGUUGUGUGAGCAAGCCGUGGGCUAGGUACCGCUCCAGGUCAGACAAUGGUUGGCACUGAAGAGUGCGGCGACACUACAGAGCUGUGAACGAAGACGGUGAACGGCGAGAUGUGGUGACCGCUUGACUGACCUGUGCCCAAAGUCGUGAUCUACCGCUGGGGUCAGUGCGUGAGAAGCUGGACUCGGCACCAACGGAGGACGCAGCUCGACGAGGAAGAUAUGCUGUGUUGAGGGACGUCUGCCGGUUACGACCGGAAGGCUUCCGACGGGACUUGGCAGAACCCACAACAGCAGUAUGAACCCGGCGUGGAGUUAAUGCGUAAUUGCUCGCAUGAGCAACCGAAGGGCGACUUCCAGGCGAAGCUGCCGCAGAAUUCCUGGAGAUACGCUGGGACAUGGAUCAUAGCAAGGUGGCUCUCAGCGGCAGCUGACCGCUGAGCUGUGUCUGAAACAGCCAGAAGGAAGACUCGAGUUGUGGAUCCAGGGCACUACUGAACGGAAGGCCGGACCAGCUGUAGGGAGACUACAGAAAAGCCGUCGUUCUCAAUCUGCUGAACAGACUCCUACUGCAGAGGAUCAACUGGGGUUCGACGUGUUAGAACUGGGGUUAGACCGGUUACCAGUGCUCGUGUUCGUCACCUGUUGUUUGUCACUGCUGCGCUGCCGCUGUAAUGUUUGCCACCUGCUAAGCGUUCACAAUGUGUCUUAAGUGAAUAAUAACUUUUUUAGCGUUUGUCUUGAUUUGUAACGAGUAUAUCAAAUAUCAAUUAUCAAGCAUGUUAACCUUUCAUCAAAUGAAGGACUCCACAUAAAAAUAGUAUAGGCUGUGGUGGUACAGACACCUACCAUGCUUGGCCGACUGUUGUGUAUUGAUCUAGUCGUUGAAGCAUCCUGAAAGUCUGGAAAUAAACAGGCAUGGCCAAA